rnacentral:rRNA from 1 species
GUGGGGAAUAUUGGGCAAUGGGGGAAACCCUGACCCAGCAACGCCGCGUGAGUGAAGAAGGCCUUCGGGUUGUAAAGCUCUGUCAUUAGGGAAGAAGAAGUGACGGUACCUAAUGAGGAAGCCCCGGCUAACUACGUGCCAGCAGCCGCGGUAAUACGUAGGGGGCGAGCGUUGUCCGGAAUUACUGGGCGUAAAGGGUGCGUAGGCGGCGUGUUAAGUGGGAUGUGAAAUACCCGGGCUUAACCUGGGGGGUGCAUUCGAUACUGGCAGGCUAGAGUGCAGGAGAGGGAAGCGGAAUUCCUAGUGUAGCGGUGAAAUGCGUAGAUAUUAGGAGGAACACCAGUGGCGAAGGCGGCUUUCUGGACUGUAACUGACGCUGAUGCACGAAAGCGUGGGGAGCAAACAGGAUUAGAUACCCUGGUAGUCC